GUGCUCCUCCUCGGGAGCGCGCUUCGUUAGGGUGGAGGAGGUGGAGAUGGCGCCGAACGUGCGUCAUCACCGGCUAAAGUGAGAAGGCGGCUGUGGCUGUGUGGAAGACACCCCAGCGUGCAGAACUCAACUCGCAGAGAGACCUAGGAGGGAGGAUAUUCCGAACUGGAUAUUCCAUGCAUUUCUUGCUGCUGCUGCACCAUAAGCACUAGAAGGAAGAAGAGGAGAUAAGUACUGCAAGCUACUGCAAAGAAACACACACCUCCCAGCUAAAAGGCAUAAAGGUUUUUAAUGGAAAGACUCCAAGCAAUACAUCACCAUCAGCUAGAAGAAAAAAAUCCUACACAGCUUUUCAAGAUGAUUCUGCAUGCUGAAAAUCAUCACCAACUUCAACAUUUGUUUUGGGUUCUCGGUGGUUGUAUCCAGUCUCUCAAAGACAAGUAGCAAAGUAUUAAAUGCUCACUGCUUUCUGAAA